rnacentral:rRNA from 1 species
CCUACGGGAGGCAGCAGUUGGGAAUAUUGCACAAUGGGCGACAGCCUGAUGCAGCGACGCCGCGUGAAGGAAGAAGGCCUUCGGGUUGUAAACUUCUUUUUUAUGGGACGAUUGUGACGGUACCAUAAGAAUAAGGACCUGCUAACUACGUGCCAGCAGCAGCGGUAAUACGUAGGGUCCGAGCGUUGUCCGGAUUUAUUGGGCGUAAAGAGUAUGUAGGUGGUUUGGUGUGUCGGAUUUAAAAGGUCCAGGCUCAACUUGGAUUUUGGAUCCGAAACUACUAAACUUUGAGGGUAGCAGGGGCAAGCGGAAUUAGCGGAGUAGCAGUGAAAUGCGUUGAUCUCGCUAAGAACACCAAUGGCGAAGGCAGCUUGCUAGGUUACCUCUGACACUGAGAUACGAAAGCGUGGGGAGCGAACGGGAUUAGAUACCCCGGUAGUCCACGCCGUAAACGAUGCAGACUAGGUAUCAGAAGUAUCGACCCUUCUUGUACCAAAGCUAACGCGUUAAGUCUGCCGCCUGGGAAGUACGGUCGCAAGACUAAGACACAAGAAGUAGACGCGNGAGACGNGCGAGACGACGACGAGGGAGAG